rnacentral:rRNA from 1 species
UAGGGAAUCUUCCGCAAUGGACGCAAGUCUGACGGAGCAACGCCGCGUGUGUGAAGAAGGAUUUCGGUUCGUAAAACUCUGUUGUUAGAGAAGAACAGCGCAUAGAGUAACUGUUAUGCGUGUGACGGUAUCUAACCAGAAAGCCACGGCUAACUACGUGCCAGCAGCCGCGGUAAUACGUAGGUGGCAAGCGUUGUCCGGACUUAUUGUGCGUAAAGCGAGCGCAGGCGGUCAAUUAAGUCUGAUGUGAAAGCCCCCGGCUCAACCGGGGAGGGUCAUUGGAAACUGGUUGACUUGAGUGCAGAAGAGGAGAGUGGAAUUCCAUGUGUAGCGGUGAAAUGCGUAGAUAUAUGGAGGAACACCAGUGGCGAAGGCGACACUCUGGUCUGUAACUGACGCUGAGGCUAGAAAGCGUGGGUAGCAAACAGG